rnacentral:tRNA from 1 species
GCGCCCGUAGCUCAACGGAUAGAGCGUCUGACUACGGAUCAGAAGGUUGGGGGUUCGAAUCCCUUCGGGCGUGCCA